UACAGAGGUCCCGAGCGUUGUUCGGAUUCAUUGGGCGUAAAGGGUGCGUAGGCGGUCUGCUAAGUUUGGUGUGAAAUCCCGGGGCUCAACCCUGGAAUUGCAUUGAAUACUGGUGGACUAGAGUACUGGAGAGGAAACUGGAAUUUACGGUGUAGCAGUGAAAUGCGUAGAGAUCGUAAGGAAGACCAGUGGCGAAGGCGAGUUUCUGGACAGUAACUGACGCUGAGGCACGAAGGCCAGGGGGAGCAAAACGGG
rnacentral:rRNA from 1 species